rnacentral:ribozyme from 14 species
GGUCCCGCAUCAAUUAUAGGAUUAAUGUUUGAAAACAGUUCUUUUUUUUUCUUUUUUUCCUCUAAAGAAAGCUUUUUAACUAAAAGUAAAUAAAUAAGAGAUAAUA